UGAACACCAGGAACAAUUGAUAUACCUC
rnacentral:sRNA from 1 species